rnacentral:lncRNA from 1 species
CUUCAACGAGGCGUUACUGUUUUGAGGCGUUAUGAAAAUGAAAGGUGCAAUUUUUCCAUCGCAGCAAACUCCUAAAAAAAUCUGUCAAAACAAACAAAUCUCUCACAUAGCGACCCAACCUGCACAAAAUAAUCUGAAUACAUGCCAAGAAGGCGUGCUUUUCCAGCCAGCUUACGAAGCUUGGGAUGUGAUCUAAUUUUGGGAGAAAAAGGAACGUCGCUUAAGCAGAAGUGAACGGGCUCAUUUGAUUUUUGCUUAGUACAGUGCCUCACGGGAAUCAAGGACGAAGUCACCACGUAAGGAAUGUGCCUCCAGACGCCCUUCAUUGAUGCACGCGAUUGCUCGGAGAACUUGGACCAUGAAGAGAAUUCGUAAGAAGCUUCUGGCCAACACGUCGAAUGAGCCAUUGUGACCAAUUUUGAUGAUGGGCACGAUCUAGAUCAUGUGUCCAGCUGCUGGAGCUGAGUUGUGGCAACAGUUGGAGCUUUUGAAUCAUGCUGCGUUUUGGAAACUAGGCCCCUCUGGCCUUUAUGACACUACUUCUGACCACAUGCCCCUGAACCACAACUAACUUGCAAACAACGUGAUUAGAUCGUCCCACUGUAUAACUUGAUAAAAACGCUUGAAUAAAGAAAACACAUCUCAAUUUAA